CCCCGCCCCAGCCCCGCGUCCACUCCCCGAGCCCCGCGCCGCCUUGGAGACAAACGCGCUCCGUUCUUCUCUCUUCUCCAGCUCCCCGAAGUCGCGUCCUCCUGGCUCCACCAGAUUGUGAAACUUCUCAGCAGUGGAAUCUUUUUGCCUGAAGGGGCCUGCCUUCCAGGGAAGCCUAGAGUUGCAAGCACCAGAAAGGAAGAUUAUGUGCCAUGUGUAUCCCUAAAAGCUGGAAGACAGACUGAUCUGCGGAAGGAGCAAAACUGAUGAAUCAUCUGACCGAAGAUGGCUUGCUACCUGACGUUCUUUGUUGAACCAGGAAGCAGACAGGUGUAAUUGACCUGCAACACUAUGGGUGCAUAUGCUGUCGUGUCUGACUCUUUGCCACCCCGUGGGCUAUAGCCCAGCAGACUCCUCUGUCCAUGGAAUUCUCCAGGCAAGAAUACUAGAGCAGGUUGCCGUUUCCUACUCCAGGGGAUGUUCCUGACCCAGGGAUUGAAACUUGAGUCUCUUGCAUCUCCUGUAUUGGCAGGUGGAUUCUUUACCACUGCAGCACUUGUGAAGCUCCAUCUACCAAUAUGGCACUGGUUUAAACAGAUGCAGUGUAUCCAUGGGAAGGACUAUUACACAGCUGUUUUAGAAGAGUGAGGAAGAACAUGCUGACCUCACUGUUUAUUAUGUGUAUACCACAUUGUUCUGAUUACUGUAGCUUUCUUUGUAGUAUAAUUUGAAAUCAGAGUGUGAUACCUCCAGCUUUGCUCUUCUUUCUUAAAAUUGUUUUGAUGAUUCAGGAUCUUUUAUGUGUCUGUACAAAUUUUAGAAUUAUUUGUUCUAGUUCUAUGAAAAAUGCCAUUGAUAUUUAUAGGGAUUGCAUUGAAUCUAUAGGUUUCCUUGGGGAGUAUAGUCAGUUUAACAAUAUUAAUUUUUCCAACCCGUGAGCACAGUAUAUUUUUCCAUGUGUUUGUGUCAACUUCAGUUUCUUUCAUCAGUAUUUUAUAGUUUUUUGUUUGCAAACCUUUUACCUUCUUAGGUAGGUUUAUUCUUAGGUAUCUUAUUGUUUAUGAUGGGACGGUAACUGAAAUUGUUUUCUUAACUUUUCUUUCUGAUAAUUAGUCGCUAGUAUAUACAAAUGCAACAGAUUUCUGUAUAUUAAUUUUAUAUCCUGCAACUUUACCAAAUUUGUUGAUGAGUUCUAGUAGUUUUUUGAUGGUGUCUUUAACAUUUUCGCUGUAUAGUAUUAAUAUCAUGUCGUCUGCAGUGACAGUUUUACUUCUUCCUUUCCAAUUUGGAUUCCUUUUGUUUCUUUUUCUUCUCUAAUUGUCAUGGCUAGGACUUUUAAUACUGUGUUGAAUAAAAGUGGUGACAGUGGGCCAUCCUUGGUUUGUUCCUGAUCUUAGAAGAAAUGUUUCAGCUUUUUCCAUAGAGUAUGAUGUUAGCAGGACAGGGAGGCCUGGCAUGCUGCAGUCCAUGGGGUCACAAAAAGUCAGACAUGGCUGGGCGACUGAACAACAAGAGCAACAAAUGAUGUUAGCAAUGGGCUUGCCAUAUAUGGCCCUUGUCAUGUUGAGGUAUGCUCCAUCUAUACCCACUUUCUGGGGGAGUUUUAAUCAUAAAUGGAUAAUGAAUUUUGUCAGAAGCUUUUUCUGUACCUACUGAGAUGAUACAGUUUUAUUCUUCAAAUUGUUAGUAUGGUGUGUCACAUUGAUUGAUUUACAGAUACUGAACUAUCCGUGCAUCCUUGAGAUAAAUUCCAAUUGAUCAUGGUGUGUAAUCUUCUGAAUGUAUUGUUGAGUCUGGUUUGCUAAUACUUUGUCGAGGAUUUUUCCACCUCUUCAUCUGUAUUGGCCUGUGAUUUCUUUUGUGUGUGUGUAACAUCAUUCUCUGGUUUGGGCAUCAGGAUGAUACUGGUCUUAUAGGAUAAGCAUGGCCAGCUUCUUAUUUGUCCCUGGUCUUCACUAUUUCCUUCCUGUAGUCCCACUCUGGCCCUUUAGGUGAGAAAGAACAGUGAAGGGAGAAGUAGAAGGACAAGGAGUCUCUAUAAAUUGUCUGUCCUGUCAAAAACUAACUCUGCAUUCUUUGCAUUAAGCCUGAUCUGGCUCUUUCUCUUAUGAAUGUUUUUCUUGGGAUUUCAAAAAUCUUGCAGUGUUGGUGUCCUUCUCACUGUAUUUUGUGCCAUCCCUGAACAAGCUUCCUCCCCUGACUUUAUUCCUGGGAAUCUAGCUGUUCAUACAUUUACUUUCUGCUGAGGUUUUAUAGCUGCCAUCCCACCUCCUCCAACCCCUAGUAUAUUUUUCAUCCACAGCCAAAAUUUGACCCAUGGGAAGCACUCAUACAUUAUCUGCUCAACUAACUCUGCAGGUCAGUCCUGUCACAGUUGAGGCUUUCCUCAGUUGUACUCUGCAUGUCUCUUAUCCCCCAGGCUCAUCCACUGUCUCCUCCCCCACUCACAACUGCACAGUAUGAAGGACAUGUAUUAAGCUCUCUAAGUAGUCUUCUUAAAGUCCCUCUUCUUUCUUCCUUCUAAACUGAGGUUGAGGGGCACGUGAACAGAGAAGAGAUGGCCAGCACAGCUCUCUCCAAAAAGCUCUUCCCUGGAAAUCCACUCAUUUCCCUUCUAUAACUUCAAUAUGGGUGAGGCAGGAAAUUGACUUUCCAGUUAUAACCUCUACAAUUUUACGUCUCAGCCUAGUGCCGUACUCUGGAAUAAAUUAUCUAUUGUAUCUUGAAUCCUAAUGUCUUGAAUGAGUGAAACAAUUUUAACAUAUUAUUUCUUAGGUGUAUGUACAAAUUGUGGAUGAUGUGCAGAACAAAUCAAUACUGUACAUUUUGUCAGAAAGUGGAUGGAUGGGGAGGAAAUAUGAAUGCUUUUGUUUUUAUACCUUCUUAUCUUUUGGUGUGUUGCAAUGAGCCUGUGUUCCUACAGUAAAUGAUGAGGACUGUGUAAGAAACAGCAGUCAUAGAAAGCACAAGUAAAUUUAAAUUCUUUAUGCAGAUUAUUCAAAUUUAGGCCAUAUAUCAAUGGUCAUUUCAUAUGCAUCAAACAAAAUGAUUUUUAUUCUAAGGUAAUAAAAGUGUAGCAUUGCCUUAAACAUUUGAAAACACAAAAGUGUUUCCCCUGAUCUUUAUCUCGCAUUUACACAUUGUGCAAUUGAUUGGCCUGUAAUGAGUGAGAAGAUAAAAUAAGAGAAGUCUCUAAUUGAGUGGGAGGAGGGGGGACUAGGGCUAGUAUGUUGUA